UCCGUAGGCGGACUUGUAAGUCAGUGGUGAAAUCUCAUAGCUUAACUAUGAAACUGCCAUUGAUACUGCAGGUCUUGAGUAAAUUUGAAGUGGCUGGAAUAAGUAGUGUAGCGGUGAAAUGCAUAGAUAUUACUUAGAACACCAAUUGCGAAGGCAGGUCACUAAGAUUUAACUGACGCUGAUGGACGAAAGCGUGGGUAGCGAACAGGAUUAGAUACCCUCGUA
rnacentral:rRNA from 1 species